rnacentral:rRNA from 1 species
UACGUAGGGGGCAAGCGUUGUCCGGAAUUACUGGGCGUAAAGGGAGCGUAGGCGGUCUUUUAAGUUAGAUGUGAAAUACCCGGGCUCAACUUGGGAGGUGCAUCUAAAACUGGAGGACUUGAGUGCAGGAGAGGAAAGUGGAAUUCCUAGUGUAGCGGUGAAAUGCGUAGAUAUUAGGAGGAACACCAGUGGCGAAGGCGACUUUCUGGACUGUAACUGACGCUGAGGCUCGAAAGCGUGGGGAGCAAAC